rnacentral:rRNA from 1 species
UGGGGAAUAUUGCACAAUGGAGGAAACUCUGAUGCAGCAACGCCGCGUGAGGGAAGAAGGUCUUCGGAUUGGUGAGCUUUGUCGGUGGGGAAGAAAAUGACGGUACCCCGGGAGGAAGCCCCGGCUAACUAUAAAACAGCAGGCGCGGGAAUACUCAAUUUUUGUCCGCCCAUUAAUAAUACAAUCCCAUUA